rnacentral:lncRNA from 1 species
CAGCGUCAAGGUGGCCAAGGUGGAAUACGUCAGGAAGAAGCCAAAAUUAAAAGAAGUCCAGGUGAGGUUAGAGGAGCAUUUGGAGUGCACCUGCGCGACCACCAGCCUGAAUCCGGAUUAUCGGGAAGAGGACACGGAUGUGAGGUGAGGAUGAGCCGCAGCCCUUUCCUGGGACAUGGAUGUACAUGGCGUGUUACAUUCCUGAACCUACUAUGUACGGUGCUUUAUUGCCAGUGUGCGGUCUUUGUUCUCCUCCGUGAAAAACUGUGUCCGAGAACACUCGGGAGAACAAAGAGACAGUGCACAUUUGUUUAAUGUGACAUCAAAGCAAGUAUUGUAGCACUCGGUGAAGCAGUAAGAAGCUUCCUUGUCAAAGAGAGAGAGAGAGAGAGAGAGAGAAAACAAAACCACAAAUGACAAAAACAAAACGGACUCACAAAAAUAUCUAAACUCGAUGAGAUGGAGGGUCGCCCCGUGGGAUGGAAGUGCAGAGGUCUCAGCAGACUGGAUUUCUGUCCGGGUGGUCACAGGUGCUUUUUUGCCGAGGAUGCAGAGCCUGCUUUGGGAACGACUCCAGAGGGGUGCUGGUGGGCUCUGCAGGGGCCCGCGGGAAGCAGGAAUGUCUUGGAAACCGCCACGCGAACUUUAGAAACCACACCUCCUCGCUGUAGUAUUUAAGCCCAUACAGAAACCUUCCUGAGAGCCUUAAGUGGUUUUUGUUUUGUUUUUUUGUUUUUGUUUUUGUUUUGUUUUUUUUUUUUUUACACCAUAAAGUGAUUAUUAAGCUUUCCUUUUUACUCUUUGGCUAGCUUGCUUUUUUUUUUUUUUUUUUUUUUUUUAUCUCUUGGAUGACAUUUACACCGAUAACACACAGGCUGCUGUAACUGUCAGGACAGUGCGACGGUAUUUUUCCUAGCAAGAUGCAAACUAAUGAGAUGUAUUAAAAUAAACAUGGUAUACCUACCUAUGCAUCAUUUCCUAAAUGUUUCUGGCUUUGUGUUUCUCCCUUACCCUGCUUUAUUUGUUAAUUUAAGCCAUUUUGAAAGAACUAUGCGUCAACCAAUCGUAUGCCGUCCCUGCGGCACCUGCCCCAGAGCCCAUUUGUGGCUGAGUGACACCUUGUUCCCCGCAGUGCACACCUAGAAUGCUGUGUUCCCACGCGGCACAUGAGAUGCAUUGCCGCUUCUGUCUGUGUUGUUGGUGUGCCCUGGUGCCGUGGUGGCGGUCACUCCCUCUGCUGCCAGUGUUUGGACAGAACCCAAAUUCUUUAUUUUUGGUAAGAUAUUGUGCUUUACGUGUAUUAACAGAAAUGUGUGU